GAUGAACGCUGGCGGCGUGCCUAAUACAUGCAAGUCGAGCGAACGGACGAGGAGCUUGCUUCUCUGAUGUUAGCGGCGGACGGGUGAGUAACACGUGGAUAACCUACCUAUAAGACUGGGAUAACUUCGGGAAACCGGAGCUAAUACCGGAUAAUAUUUUGAACCGCAUGGUUCAAAAGUGAAAGACGGUCUUGCUGUCACUUAUAGAUGGAUCCGCGCUGCAUUAGCUAGUUGGUAAGGUAACGGCUUACCAAGGCAACGAUGCAUAGCCGACCUGAGAGGGUGAUCGGCCACACUGGAACUGAGACACGGUCCAGACUCCUACGGGAGGCAGCAGUAGGGAAUCUUCCGCAAUGGGCGAAAGCCUGACGGAGCAACGCCGCGUGAGUGAUGAAGGUCUUCGGAUCGUAAAACUCUGUUAUUAGGGAAGAACAUAUGUGUAAGUAACUGUGCACGUCUUGACGGUACCUAAUCAGAAAGCCACGGCUAACUACGUG
rnacentral:rRNA from 1 species